rnacentral:rRNA from 1 species
GGUGAACGCUAGCUACAGGCUUAACACAUGCAAGUCGCGGGGCAGCAUGGGGGUUGCUUGCCACCCCUGAUGGCGACCGGCGCACGGGUGAGUAACGCGUAUCCAACCUGCCCUUCACCACGGGAUAACCCGGCGAAAGUCGGACUAAUACCGUAUGUUGUCCAUUGACGGCAUCCGAUUUGGACGAAAGGCUUGGCAGUGUAAGGGUGUGGAUGCGUCCGAUUAGCUUGACGGCGGGGUAACGGCCCACCGUGGCUACGAUCGGUAGGGGUUCUGAGAGGAAGGUCCCCCACACUGGAACUGAGACACGGUCCAGACUCCUACGGGAGGCAGCAGUGAGGAAUAGUGGUCGAUGGGCGUAAGCCUGAACCAGCCAAGUAGCGUGCAGGAUGACGGGCCUAUGGGUUGUAAAAUGCUUUUAUGCGGGGAUAAAGUGGCCCACGUGUGGGCUUUUGCAGGUACCGCAUGAAUAAGGACCGGCUAAUUCCGU